ensembl:lncRNA
AUCAUGUUAUGGUUUUUGACCAGAACUUGCCAGAAGCUGUUCUCAGUUUUGGUAAUAAUAUUAUUACCAAAAGUCACCCGGGUCAAAUAGGGUGGCAUUCCAAAUUUGCUUCCACAUUCGAAACUGUAACGAGGACAUGGAAAUAUACAACAGAUUAUGUGGAGGAAGUAAACUGGGAUGCAGGACUCCAUUACAAUGCACCAGAUGAUUGAUGAAUUAGGGUUGAGGACCUAAAAAGGACACAUUUUGACUACACAACCUACCUGAAGUUUGAGACGGAAUCUUUCAAUUCUGUCAACGCCCACAGGAGUCGCUGGUUGCAGUCCGUAGUAGGUUUGUAUUCAAUACUCUUGUUGCCAUCAGCAGUCACCACCAGUUUAAAGUUCACUUCAACAGCACAAGGAAAAGAAUAAGGAGCAAGUAGUAGAUGUAUAAAACCUAGUCUAGCUAUGGUUGAGUAAUGAAUAGACUCUUAAUGUUUGUCCAAAAUCCGAUGGCUAACCCUUGCC